AGACUCGUAUCUCAGUGGAUUAGAGUUUGUAGCUACGGACUACAAUGACAUGGGUUCAAAUCCCUUCGAGUCUA
rnacentral:tRNA from 1 species